rnacentral:misc_RNA from 1 species
GAUAAGAACGCAGCGAAAUGCGAUAAGUAAUGUGAAUUGCAGAAUUCAGUGAAUCAUCGAAUCUUUGAACGCACCUUGCGCCCUUUGGCUAUUCCGAAGGGCAUGCCUGUUUGAGUAUCAUGAACAUCUCAACUCCUCACGGUUCGCCCGUGACGAGCUUGGACUUUGGGGGUCUUGCCGGCCUGCGGGUCGGCUCCUCUCAAAUGAAUCAGCUUGCCGGUGUUUGGUGGCGUCACAGGUGUGAUAAAUAUCUACGCUUGUGGUUUUCCGCCAGGUAACCUCCAGCGAUGGGGGUUCACUGGAGCUCACGAAUGUCUCUCCUCGGUGAGGACAGCUCUUUGAACGUUUGAUCUCAAAUCAGGUAGGGCUACCCGCUGAACUUAAGCAUAUCAAUAAGCGGAGGA